UCUGUGAUCACAAGGAUUUUACUCACUUCUUAUCCCUGAUUGGUCUCAUUCUCAGUUACAGAUGAAUCAGACACAUUUUGAGCAGCUUUAAGAUUUGCUUUUCAUCCAAAGCCAAGUAGGCAAAUGGCAGUGAAUUCACAAGCUUUUCCAAAUGAUCUCAUAGGUUCCUCCGGCUCCAUGGUGGGGGCCGUUUGCACUCUGCAAUGCUGUUAUCUUAAACACCCCCAGCCUGCUUGUGUCUAAGGGGAGGCUGCCUUGUAGGGCUGGGUGAUGCGCUCCACUUUCUAGAAGAUUUCUUCCUGAGGGUGGUAAUGAGCUCGGAGGAUUCAUCAGGACUAAACCUUGUCUGAAGACUUGUUUAUAAAAUUAUUUCAAUAAAAUCUGCAAUCAGAUUGGCUGGGGCGGGUCUUCAAACCAAGCGGCUUCCCUAAUGAGCACACUCGUCAGGGUGGCAAAAUCUCGUUACCAGCCGGCUUCUCCCACACUUUGUCAAGGCGGGUGGUGGGGGAUGGUGGAAAUUUAUUAGUAAUAAAGACCAAAGCUCUAGGAGCUUUUAUACGAGAA